CUCGGAAGAUCUUUACAUCCUAAUUGAAGAGAGGAAGAAGAGGGUGGGAAGAGAAAGGUAGAGGUCAGUGGGCCCCAUCUUCCUUCUCCUCCUCAGAUACCCCAGGUUUAACUAAGGAGCCCUCUUGUACUUGGUACCUAGAAUAUAUGCAAAUCCAGCUAGGUUUCACUGUUGAUUGAACUUGGUCCAAACUUGCACAUAGAAUGGGGGGCUGCUCAGGGGACCAGCCCUGUGCUCAGCGCUAAUCUGUUUAUGCAAUACUUUAAAUGAUGUUAAAUAGGGGAGGGG